rnacentral:rRNA from 1 species
AGUAGGUGGGGUAACGGCCCACCCAGCUUAAGACGGUGCGGGCGGUGGGAGCCGGAGCCCCGGAGAUGGGCACUGAGACAAGGGCCUAGGCCCUACGGGGCGCAGCAGGCGCGAAACUUCCCCAAUGCGCGCAAGCGUGAGGGAGUGAGCCCGAGUGCCGCCCGCUGAGGGCGGCUGUUCCCGGGUGUAAACAGCCCGGGGUAGGAAGGGGAGGGUAAGGCUGGUGCCAGCCGCCGCGGUAAAACCAGCUCCUCGAGGGGUCCCCACGCAUACUGGGCCUAAAGCGUCCGUAGCCGGCCCCGUAAGUCCCCGGUUAAAUCCACCGGAAGACCGGUGGGCCGCCGGGGAUACUGCGGGGCUAGGGACCGGGAGGGGCCGAGGGUAUUCCGGGGGAUAGCGGUAAAAUGCGUAGAUCCCCGGAGGACCACCAGUGGCGAAGGCGCUCGGCUGGAACGCGUCCGACGGUGAGGGACGAAAGCUGGGGGAGCAAACCGGAUUAGAUACCCGGGUAGUCCCAGCCGUAAACGAUGCCGGCUAGGUGCCGGCCGAGGUUUCGGCCUCGGCCGGUGUCGAAGCGAAGGCGUUAAGCCGGCCGCCUGAGGAGUACGGCCGCAAGGCUGAAACUUGAAGGAAUUGACGGGGGGGCACCACAAGGGGUGAAUGCCUGCGGCUCAAUUGGACUCAACGCCGGGAAUCUUACCGGGGGCGACAGCAGGAUGAAGGUCAGGCUGAAGACCUUACCUGACGCGCUGAGGGGUGGUGCAUGGCCGUCGCCAGCUCGUGCCGUGAGGUGUCCUGUUAAGUCAGGCAACGAGCGAGACCCCCGCCCCUAGUUGCCAGCGGGGCCCUUCGGGGCUGUCCGGGCAAACUAGGGGGACCGCCGGCGAAGAGCCGGAGGAAGGAGGGGGCCACGGCAGGUCAGUAUGCCCCUAAUCCCCCGGGCCGCACGCGGGCUGCAAUGGGCGGGACAGCGGGAUGCGACCCCGAGAGGGGGAGCAAAUCCCUGAAACCCGCCCGUAGUCGGGAUCGAGGGCUGCAACUCGCCCUCGUGAACCCGGAAUCCCUAGUAACCGCGGUUCUCCAUACCGCGGUGAAUACGUCCCUGCCCCU